GAAGUAAAAGUUGUAACAAGGUCUCCGUUGGUGAACCAGCGGAGGGAUCAUUGCUGGAACGCGCCCCAGGCGCACCCAGAAACCCUUUGUGAACUUAUACCUUUACUGUUGCCUCGGCGCAUGCCGGCCCCCCCGGGGGCCCCUCGGAGACGAGGAGCAGGCACGCCGGCGGCCAAGUUAACUCUUGUUUUUACACUGAAACUCUGAGAAAAAAACACAAAUGAAUCAAAACUUUCAACAACGGAUCUCUUGGUUCUGGCAUCGAUGAAGAACGCAGCGAAAUGCGAUAAGUAAUGUGAAUUGCAGAAUUCAGUGAAUCAUCGAAUCUUUGAACGCACAUUGCGCCCUCUGGUAUUCCGGAGGGCAUGCCUGUUCGAGCGUCAUUUCAACCCUCAAGCAUUGCUUGGUGUUGGGGCACUGCCUUUAAAGCGGGCAGGCCCUGAAAUCUAGUGGCGAGCUCGCCAGGACCCCGAGCGCAGUAGUUAAACCCUCGCUCUGGAAGGCCCUGGCGGUGCCCUGCCGUUAAA
rnacentral:sRNA from 1 species